GCCUUCUUAGCUCAGUUGGUAGAGUGAGUACUCUCGAAAUGUCGAAUUUGCAGCAUUGUCUGACAGUCUGCGAAGGCGCGGCACUAGUAUAUCCUUAUGGUUGAUGCCGAGGUCACUGGUUCGACUCCAGUAGGAGGCA